AUGGCGCACCACGCGACCCCCUUAUACUCGACAGCUGCCGCGCUGUUGCUGAUACUGCUCCCGCUGUCCGCCGGAGCAGCACCAGCGCCAGCGCAGAUAGGGAUGCCGGGCUGCGACACCAGCUGCGGCAACUUGAGCGUGCCAUACCCGUUUGGCAUGGGCCCGUCUCGUUGCUACCACUCGCCGGGAUUCAACCUCACCUGCGACCGGUCAAGUAACCCGCCGCGGCUCCUCGUCGGCGACGGCACCCUUCAAGUCUCGGAACAGAUCAACACCGAUUUUGACUUGUUAGCCGUCGUUUACACUGACGACAUCAAAAUCGACAGUGGUGGCCACGGCAGGCUGGGCGGCGGGCUCAGCGACGACGGGCCAUACGUGCUGUCGCGGUACAAGAACCAGCUCAUCCUUUUGGGCUGCAACGUGCGCGCGACGUUGAAGAACGGCAACAUCACCAUGAGCAGCUGCUCCUCCCUGUGCCCGAACGACUACGAGGGGCUCUCGUCCGAUUCCGACGAAAGGCUGUCCAGGCCGGAUAGAAGCAUGUCCUGCUCCGGCAUUGGGUGCUGCCAGGCGCCCAUCGUCGUCUACCGCGAGGUACUGGCUGGAUCAAACGAGAUCGUCCCAAUCACGUCGUACGACGUGGAGCUAGAGUCCUUUGGGUGGAACCGCAGCGAGGCCCAGCUGUGGCCGCCGCGCGUGUUCAUCGCCGAGGAAGGCUGGCUUGCGACAUGGAGCCUCUCACACCAGCUCUCUACGCGCGGCGUGUCGAUGGAAGUUCCCAUCUGGCUCGGCUGGGAGGUCAUCGAUGACCACCAGGACGACACAGAUCAGCUGCAGCGGUCGUCCUCGCCUGCGUCGGCGUCAGAGUGUUCUAGGGAUGCGGCCAACAGUGUCUGCAAGAGCAGCAACGCGGACUGCAGAAAACACCAAAGAGGCGGCUACACGUGCUCCUGCAAGUCUGGUUACGAGGGCAAUCCCUACAUCACCAACGGAUGCCAAGACAUCGACGAGUGCAAGGAUUUAGAAUUUUACAAGUGUUAUGGUCAAUGUACCAAUAUGGAUGGUUUAUUUCAGUGCCAGUGCCCACAUGGGACCCAUGGCGACCACUCCACGCCCGGUGGUUGCUUCAGUUUGCUGGGAGGUAAUUGUAUCACAUCAUGCGGCAACUUGAGUGUGCCAUACCCGUUCGGCAUUGGGCCGCCCAAGUGCUAUAUGCCAGGUUUCAACCUCACCUGUGACACAAACCACCAACCUGCGCGACUGAUGCUUGGCACACUUCGAGUUGUUGACUUCUCUCUCCGCAACAACACGAUGCGAGUUAUCAAUGCUGACCGAGUCAAUAAUUUCUUUAUCGGUGAAAGCAUUCACGACAUCAUUUAUGAGAUGGGUUAUGGAGAGGUGGUGCCCUACUCGUUGUCAACCAUCGAUGAAUUUAUCCUCAUCGGAUGUGGCGUGCAGGCGGUGUUGUCCAACACUGAAAACAACCGGGUCAUCCUCAGUAAUUGCUCCUCCUUCUGCCCGUCAAACAAGAGCGGAAGCUACAAUGCCACAACAGCUGCUAGUUUCGGUGACAGCGAGUACUGCUACGGCAUGGGUUGCUGCCAGGCACACAUAUCGAAGUCGAGGAAUGGCAUGCCCAGUGAUUUCUCGAUUGAUUGGAUAGAUCCUAACAUUGCCUCCGAUGGGUCAUUUCCACAGGCAUAUGCGUUCAUCGCAGAGGAAGGGUGGUUGAACAAGCGUUGGCUCUCUGCCCGGCUUCCAUUAGCGCCGUUCACAAACGAUCCAGCACCCCAACUUGAGGUUCCCAUUGUUCUAGAUUGGGAGGUCUUACAAUUGCAGCGUGGCAUCUCGCACCAGCCAACCAAUGUGAGCUCAUCGCUGCGUCAACAACAAUAUCUCAAGUGUCCUGGCAUCUGUAGCAGCAAGAAUAGCAUCUGCAAACAAAUGACCAGAGGCUAUUCAUGCCACUGUAGUGAGGGUUACGACGGCAAUCCCUACCUUGACGGAUGCAAAGGCGGUGUGCACAAAGACUUUAAAGGUAUGAGCACUGGAGCUGCUGCUGGAGCGGGGCUCGUACUUCUGUUUCUUAUUGGAUUUUUCAUUGCUAAGAAACUAAAACAGCGGAGGGCUCAAAUGUUAAAAUGUAAGUUCUUCCACCAAAAUCGUGGACAAUUGUUGCAACAGUUGGUACCCCAAAGUGCUGGUAUUGCAGAAAGGAUGAUCAUAACAUUGGAAGAGUUAGAGAAGGCGACCCGUCAUUUUGACAAAGAUCUCGUGGUUGGCGGAGGAGGUCAUGGUAUUGUUUACAAAGGGAUACUGUCAAACCAACAUAUUGUAGCCGUCAAGAAACCCAAGAAGGUGUUGAAGAAUGAGAUCAAUGAAUUUAUAAAUGAGGUAGCUAUCCUAUCACAAAUUAACCAUAGAAAUGUAGUAAAACUCUAUGGUUGCUGCCUUGAAACUGAAGUCCCAAUGUUGGUCUAUGAGUUCAUAUCUAAUGGGACACUUUACGAGCAUCUUCAUGUCCAAGGACCAAAAUCAUUAUCUUGGGAUGACAGGUUGCGGAUAGCCAUUGAGGCACCAAAAUCACUUGCAUAUCUUCACUCGGCUGCAUCAACACCUAUCAUUCAUAGAGACAUCAAGUCUGCUAACAUACUUUUGGAUGAUACUCUGACAGCAAAGGUAGCGGAUUUUGGAGCUUCCAGGUAUAUUCCAAUGGAUAUAUCUGGGGUUACAACAAGGGCUCAAGGUACGAGAGGGUAUUGGGAUCCUAUGAACUUUUACACAGGGCGAAUAACUGAGAAAAGUGAUGUCUAUAGCUUUGGGGUCAUCCUUGUGGAGCUGCUAACUAGAGAGAAACCAUUUUCAUAUUUAUCAUCAGAUGAAGAGAGUCUUGUUUCACAUUUUGCCAGCUUGUUUGAAAAAGGGCAACUGCUGCAUAUAUUAGAUCCACAAGUCAUGGAGGAAGGAGGGAACGAAGUUGAAGAAGUAGCAAGUAUCGCGGUAGCUUGUGUAAAGUUAAGGAGAGAGGACCGCCCAACCAUGAGACAAGUGGAGUUGACACUGGAAGGCACACAUACAUUACCGAGGCAAACUUCAGAUAAUGCAUCUCCAUCCACAAAAGUUGAAAGCAACACUAAGGGAUCGACCAGACAUUAUAGUAUGGAACUUGAGUUCCGACUAUCUGCGGAGCACCCUCGGUAG
rnacentral:rRNA from 1 species